AGCGUUUCCUCUGGCUGAUUUGAAAUUUGACUAUUAUCAUUAUUCUGAUUUAUUUGCUUGGCUGUGGUCUAUGGGCUUGACGUCUCGCCAGCCGGUGUCAGGCUAGCGUAGUUCAUCUCGAACAAGCCUAACCAGUGUGUUUAAACGAAUCGGUUGAACGAUUCAUCGACUCGUUUAAAAAGAGAGUCGCUUGCUGCCACCUAGUGGUGCAACAUGCAGAAACAGUCACCGCAAAACCAAACAGACAAGAGGAGUGAGAGAUAUCAACACUCGGAACGCCUCACUAACAAUCAAAUUGUGUGCAGCGCUUCAUGGGAAAUUAUCACUGGAGUUGGGUCAUUUCAUGCUGUGUGACUCUUCAGGAAGUGAGUAAGGCAUCGCACAUUGACUCUUUCAUGGAAAACCAAAAAGGCUCUGAGCAGCAGGGAAAUAUCGGGAAGACAAAAUUCAGAAAGACACGGGGUAAAAGAUGAUUCACCCUGAGGAAUUUAGAGCCACCGCAAUACUGACCAAGACAGAGAAUGUGAGAGAGGGAGAGAGAAACAAGUGAAGAAGAUGAAAGGAUAAAUGGAAUCUUCCCACAAUUCCACAAUUGUCAUUUUAACCAGGCCAAUCCCCCUGGAGGCAUUUUACUUACUGUAGGGCAGGGCAAGAUUGUGACCUUUGUAAUGUCACAGUUCCUGGAUCACAUACAGCCCUGACAUCACAUCCUUCAUCUUUCAGCCAGCAUGCCAGAUCUGUAACCACCCUCCAUUAGUCCCCUGUGGGUGCAUGUACAUGACAGCAAUUUUCC